rnacentral:lncRNA from 1 species
CCUGGAAUGUUACAGUCCAUGCGCAUGCCAAUCCAAGGACGAAGAGCACCAACGGCAAGCGCCCAGAUGACGGCCGAAGCGGCGGCCGACGGCAUAGCCGCCGCCACCUUCCAGGCGAAGGCCACGGUGAGCAGCCACACAGCGCCUCGCCCGCGCUCUGGCUGGGACCCGGGCGCCGCGCGCUCGUAGUCACGGAGGCAGCGGAAAAGGAGUAGCAGAGCGGCGUACGAGCCUGUUACCAGUAGGAUGGAGACGAGGUCGCCCCACACGCGGUAGAUGGCGACCCUGGAGUUGAGGGUCAAGAAGCCGAGGCCGGCUGUGGUGGCCCAGGUCGGAGGGAGGUUGGCGUUGUCGGCCAUGGAUGGUGGAGGUGCGCGUGGGGGCAGAGGCAGAGGGCGCUGACGUAGUGACGCCGCCGACACGCCUUUUCUCUCGAGUCUUCAAGUCUAGGAGCGACGGG